GAUGAACGCUGGCGGCGUGCCUAAUACAUGCAAGUCGAGCGAACAGACGAGGAGCUUGCUCCUCUGACGUUAGCGGCGGACGGGUGAGUAACACGUGGAUAACCUCCCUAUAAGACUGGGAUAACUUCGGGAAACCGGAGCUAAUACCGGAUAAUCUAUUGAACCGCAUGGUUCAAUAGUGAAAGACGGUUUUGCUGUCACUUAUCGAUGGAUCCGCGCCGCAUUAGCUAGUUGGUAAGGUACCGGCUUACCAAGGCGACGAUGCGUAGCCGACCUGAGAGGGUGAUCGGCCACACGGGAACUGAGACACGGUCCAGACUCCUACGGGAGGCAGCAGUAGGGAAUCUUCCGCAAUGGGCGAAAGCCUGACGGAGCAACGCCGCGUGAGUGAUGAAGGUCUUCGGAUCGUAAAACUCUGUUAUUAGGGAAGAACAAAUGUGUAAGUAACUAUGCACGUCUUGACGGUACCUAAUCAGAAAGCCACGGCUAACUACGUG
rnacentral:rRNA from 1 species